GACGAACGCUGGCGGCGUGCCUAAUACAUGCAAGUCGAACGCAGUGGGGACGGGCGAGUAACAAGAGGGUAACCUCCCAUCAGAGGGGAUAAAACUUGGAAACAGGUGCUAAACCGAUACUGAUGGAUGGCCCCGCGGUGCAUUAGCUAGUUGGUGAGGUAACGGCUCACCAAGGCCACGAUGAAUAGACGACCUGCGAGGGUGAUCGGACACACUGGGACUGAGACACGGCCCAGACUCCUACGGGAGGCAGAAGUAGGGAAUCUUCGGCAAUGGACGAAAGUCUGACCGAGCACCGCCGCGUGAGUGAAGAAGGUCUUCGGAUCGUAAAACUCUGUUGUUAGAGAAGCGGUAUCUAACCAGAAAGCCACGGCUAACUACGUGCCAGCCGCCGCGGUAAUUC
rnacentral:rRNA from 1 species